rnacentral:rRNA from 1 species
GGAGGAUGGGCAUGCGGCGCAUUAGCUGGUUGGCGGGGUAACGGCCCACCAAGGCGACGAUGCGUAGGGGUUCUGAGAGGAAGGUCCCCCACACUGGUACUGAGACACGGACCAGACUCCUACGGGAGGCAGCAGUGAGGAAUAUUGGUCAAUGGGCGGGAGCCUGAACCAGCCAAGUCGCGUGAGGGAAGACGGUCCUAUGGAUUGUAAACCUCUUUAGGCGGGGAGCAAUGCCGGGCACGCGUGCCCGGAGGGAGAGUACCCGCAGAAUAAGCAUCGGCUAACUCCGUGCCAGCAGCCGCGGUAAUACGGAGGAUGCGAGCGUUAUCCGGAUUUAUUGGGUUUAAAGGGUGCGUAGGCGGAUUUUUAAGUCAGCGGUAAAAUGUCCGGGCUCAACCCGGGCCGGCCGUUGAAACUGGGGAUCUUGAGUGGGCGAGAAGUAUGCGGAAUGCGUGGUGUAGCGGUGAAAUGCAUAGAUAUCACGCAGAACUCCGAUUGCGAAGGCAGCAUACCGGCGCCCGACUGACGCUGAGGCACGAAAGCGUGGGGAUCGAACAGGAUUAGAUACCCUGGUAGUCCACGCAGU